rnacentral:rRNA from 1 species
AUUGAACGCUGGCGGCAUGCCUUACACAUGCAAGUCGAACGGCAGCAUAGGAGCUUGCUCCUGAUGGCGAGUGGCGAACGGGUGAGUAAUAUAUCGGAACGUGCCCUAGAGUGGGGGAUAACUAGUCGAAAGAUUAGCUAAUACCGCAUACGAUCUACGGAUGAAAGUGGGGGAUCGCAAGACCUCAUGCUCCUGGAGCGGCCGAUAUCUGAUUAGCUAGUUGGUGGGGUAAAAGCCUACCAAGGCGACGAUCAGUAGCUGGUCUGAGAGGACGACCAGCCACACUGGGACUGAGACACGGCCCAGACUCCUACGGGAGGCAGCAGUGGGGAAUUUUGGACAAUGGGGGCAACCCUGAUCCAGCAAUGCCGCGUGAGUGAAGAAGGCCUUCGGGUUGUAAAGCUCUUUUGUCAGGGAAGAAACGGUUCUGGAUAAUACCCAGAGCUAAUGACGGUACCUGAAGAAUAAGCACCGGCUAACUUCGUGCCAGCAGCCGCGGUAA